ACGAACUCCUAGAACUACUAGAAGAGGAGAUAUCGGAAGACAUUUUGGAUCGAACGAAAGCUACAAAAUCCUGAAAAAAUUAGAAAAAUAGCGAGCAGGCCCUUAAGGAAGCUAAACGAACAGGGCACGAAAAAAAAGAAAAAAAUAAAAAAACAGCGAGAAGUUCCAGGACUAACCUAGGUUGGCCUGGAGAGUGCGGGA
rnacentral:lncRNA from 1 species